rnacentral:rRNA from 2 species
AAAUUGAAGAGUUUGAUCAUGGCUCAGAUUGAACGCUGGCGGCAGGCCUAACACAUGCAAGUCGAGCGGUAGCACAGAGAGCUUGCUCUCGGGUGACGAGCGGCGGACGGGUGAGUAAUGUCUGGGAAACUGCCUGAUGGAGGGGGAUAACUACUGGAAACGGUAGCUAAUACCGCAUAACGUCGCAAGACCAAAGAGGGGGACCUUCGGGCCUCUUGCCAUCAGAUGUGCCCAGAUGGGAUUAGCUAGUAGGUGGGGUAACGGCUCACCUAGGCGACGAUCCCUAGCUGGUCUGAGAGGAUGACCAGCCACACUGGAACUGAGACACGGUCCAGACUCCUACGGGAGGCAGCAGUGGGGAAUAUUGCACAAUGGGCGCAAGCCUGAUGCAGCCAUGCCGCGUGUAUGAAGAAGGCCUUCGGGUUGUAAAGUACUUUCAGCGGGGAGGAAGGCGAUAAGGUUAAUAACCUUGUCGAUUGACGUUACCCGCAGAAGAAGCACCGGCUAACUCCGUGCCAGCAGCCGCGGUAAUACGGAGGGUGCAAGCGUUAAUCGGAAUUACUGGGCGUAAAGCGCACGCAGGCGGUCUGUCAAGUCGGAUGUGAAAUCCCCGGGCUCAACCUGGGAACUGCAUUCGAAACUGGCAGGCUAGAGUCUUGUAGAGGGGGGUAGAAUUCCAGGUGUAGCGGUGAAAUGCGUAGAGAUCUGGAGGAAUACCGGUGGCGAAGGCGGCCCCCUGGACAAAGACUGACGCUCAGGUGCGAAAGCGUGGGGAGCAAACAGGAUUAGAUACCCUGGUAGUCCACGCCGUAAACGAUGUCGACUUGGAGGUUGUGCCCUUGAGGCGUGGCUUCCGGAGCUAACGCGUUAAGUCGACCGCCUGGGGAGUACGGCCGCAAGGUUAAAACUCAAAUGAAUUGACGGGGGCCCGCACAAGCGGUGGAGCAUGUGGUUUAAUUCGAUGCAACGCGAAGAACCUUACCUACUCUUGACAUCCAGAGAACUUUCCAGAGAUGGAUUGGUGCCUUCGGGAACUCUGAGACAGGUGCUGCAUGGCUGUCGUCAGCUCGUGUUGUGAAAUGUUGGGUUAAGUCCCGCAACGAGCGCAACCCUUAUCCUUUGUUGCCAGCGGUUAGGCCGGGAACUCAAAGGAGACUGCCAGUGAUAAACUGGAGGAAGGUGGGGAUGACGUCAAGUCAUCAUGGCCCUUACGAGUAGGGCUACACACGUGCUACAAUGGCGCAUACAAAGAGAAGCGACCUCGCGAGAGCAAGCGGACCUCAUAAAGUGCGUCGUAGUCCGGAUUGGAGUCUGCAACUCGACUCCAUGAAGUCGGAAUCGCUAGUAAUCGUAGAUCAGAAUGCUACGGUGAAUACGUUCCCGGGCCUUGUACACACCGCCCGUCACACCAUGGGAGUGGGUUGCAAAAGAAGUAGGUAGCUUAACCUUCGGGAGGGCGCUUACCACUUUGUGAUUCAUGACUGGGGUGAAGUCGUAACAAGGUAACCGUAGGGGAACCUGCGGUUGGAUCACCUCCUUACCUUAAAGAA